rnacentral:rRNA from 1 species
AUCAACUUUCGAUGGUAGGAUAGAGGCCUACCAUGGUGGUAACGGGUAACGGGGUGUUAGGGCACGACACCGGAGAGGGAGCCUGAGAAACGGCUACCACAUCCAAGGAUGGCAGCAGGCGCGCAAAUUACCCAAUCCCGACACGGGGAGGUAGUGACAAUAAAUAACAAUACGGGGUUCUUUCGGAUCUCGUAAUUGGAAUGAGUACAAUUUAAAUCUCUUAACGAGGAACAAUUGGAGGGCAAGUCUGGUGCCAGCAGCCGCGGUAAUUCCAGCUCCAAUAGCGUAUAUUAAAGUUGUUGCAGUUAAAAAGCUCGUAGUUGAAUUUCGGGACCAAUUUGUUGGUCGUGCCUCGGUACGUACUGGUAUUAUUGGUUUCUCCCUUCUGAAGAACCUCGAUGCCAUUAAUUUGGUGUCGUGGGGAAUCAGGACUGUUACUUUGAAAAAAUUAGAGUGUUUAAAGCAGGCAUACGCUUGAAUACAUUAGCAUGGAAUAAUGAAAUAGGACGUUUGAUUCUAUUUUGUUGGUUUCUAGGAUCGACGUAAUGAUUAAUAGGGAUAGUUGGGGGCAUUAGUAUUCAAUUGUCAGAGGUGAAAUUCUUGGAUUUAUUGAAGACUAACUACUGCGAAAGCAUUUGCCAAGGAUGUUUUCAUUAAUCAAGAACGAAAGUUAGGGGAUCGAAGACGAUCAGAUACCGUCGUAGUCUUAACCAUAAACUAUGCCGACUAGGGCUCGGAUGAUGUUAAUUU